rnacentral:rRNA from 1 species
GAUGAACGCUGGCGGCGUGCCUAAUACAUGCAAGUCGAGCGAACGGACGAGAAGCUUGCUUUUCUGAUGUUAGCGGCGGACGGGUGAGUAACACGUGUAUAACCUACCUAUAAGACUGGGAUCACUUCGGGAAACCGGCGCUAAUACCGGAUAAUAUUUUGAACCGCAUGGUUCAAAAGUGAAUGACGGUCUUUCUGUCACUUCUAGAUGGAUCCGCGCUGCAUUAGCUAGUUGGUAAGGUAACGGCUUACCAAGGCAACGAUGCAUAGCCGACCGGAGAGGGUGGUCGGCCACACUGGAACUGGGACGCGGUCCAGGCUCCUACGGGAGGCAGCAGUAGGGAAUCUUCCGCAGUGGGCGAAAGCCUGACGGAGCAACGCCGCGUGAGUGGUGAAGGUCUUCGGAUCGUAAAACUCUGUUAUUAGGGAAGAACAUAUGUGUAAGUAACUGUGCACAUCUUGACGGUACCUAAUCAGAAAGCCACGGCUAACUACGUG